rnacentral:rRNA from 1 species
UACGGAGGGUGCGAGCGUUGUCCGGAAUCACUGGGCGUAAAGGGCGCGUAGGCGGCUCGGUAAGUAGGGGGUGAAAUCCUGCGGCUUAACCGCAGGGCUGCCUUCUAAACUGUCGAGCUCGAGCACGGUAGAGGCAGAUGGAAUUCCCGGUGUAGCGGUGGAAUGCGUAGAGAUCGGGAAGAACAUCAGUGGCGCAGGCGGUCUGCUGGGCCGUUGCUGACGCUGAGGCGCGACAGCGUGGGGAGCAAACAGG